rnacentral:rRNA from 1 species
UACGAAGGGAGCUAGCGUUGUUCGGAUUCACUGGGCGUAAAGCGCGCGUAGGCGGAUCUUUAAGUCAGAGGUGAAAUCCCAAGGCUCAACCUUGGAACUGCCUUUGAUACUGGGGAUCUUGAGUCCGGGAGAGGUGAGUGGAACUGCGAGUGUAGAGGUGAAAUUCGUAGAUAUUCGCAAGAACACCAGUGGCGAAGGCGGCUCACUGGCCCGGUACUGACGCUGAGGUGCGAAAGCGUGGGGAGCAAACAGG